AGUAUUUUAUGGGGCAACUGGGCACUAAGACAACUUCUGCUUUCAGGUUGCUGAAGCCAAAGGAAAGAUUCUUGCCCAGAAAACUUCUUCACAAAGUCAGAGGACCUAUGAAACCAGAAGCAAGAGCAAGGAAUCAAGCACUCUUGAGAGAAGGCGGUCCAGCUACAGGAAACACCUUUUCUCUGAAAGUAACAAUGAAAAUACAAGCCCUGAUAAGAGUGAGAAAAGCUGGAUCCUUGACUCUCAGAUACAGCCAGUGCCAAAAUCUGUUGACUAUACCCGAAAAAGACCCAGGGUGAGAAGUAAAUUAAAAGGUAAGCUUAGUGCCCUUCUGACACUUAGC
rnacentral:lncRNA from 1 species